rnacentral:rRNA from 1 species
AUAUAAUUUAAUUAAUGAAAUUCUUAAUAUAAAAUUAUUUUAAAUAUUUGAUCCUUUUGUACUAAAAUAUUAAUUUUUUUUUAAAGAUAGAAACCCACCUGGCUCACCCCGGUUUGAACUCAGAUCAUGUAAGAUUUUUUUGAUCGACGAUCAAAUUUUAACUUUUGCAUUUAUAUUUUAUCUUAAUCCAACAUCGAGGUCGCAAUCUCUUUUUUUUAUACGAACUAAAAAAAAAAAUUACGCUGUUAUCCCUAAGGUAAUUUUAUCUUUUAAUCAUUAAUAAUGGAUCAUACAUUCACUUAUUUAUGUUAUUAUAAAAAAAAAGUUUAUUUAAUUUUUCUAUCACCCCAACAAAAUAAUUAAAUUUUUUUUAAUUAUAAUUUAUAUAAAAAAUCUUAAACAAUUUAAUUAUUAAACUCUAUAGGGUCUUCUCGUCUUUUAAAUUUAUUUUAGCUUUUUAACUAAAAAAUUAAAUUCUAAUUAUAAAUAAAAGACAGCUUAUAUUUCAUUAAAUCUUUCAUACAAGUCUUCAAUUAAAAGACUAAUGAUUAUGCUACCUUUGUACAGUCAAUAUACUGCAGCCCUUUAAUAUUAUAUAUCAGUGGGCAGAUUAGACUUUAAAUUAUUUUCAAAAAGACAUGUUUUUGAUAAACAAGUGAAUAUAUACAUUUGCCGAAUUCCUUUUAUUUAAUUUUAUUUAAUUUUAUAUUAUUAUUAUAAUUUUAUACUAAUUUUAUCAUUAUAACGAUUUUUUUAUUAAAAAAAAAUUUUUUUUUAUAUAAAUUUAACUUUUUUAUUAAAUUUUAUUUUAACUAAAAUUUUUUAUAAAAAAUUAAAAUUUUUAAACAAUUUAAAUUUUAAAAAUUUUAAUUUUAUUUAACUUAACUUAUAAAAUUUUAUUAAAAAGCUUAUCCCUCUUAAUAUUUAAUUUAAUUAAAUAAUAAUUUUUUAAAAAAUUAUUAUUUUAAUUAAAUUUUAAAUUAAAUUUAUUUCUAAAAAAACUAGAUAUAUUUAAAAAAGAUUAACAUUUUAUUGCCUCUUAAUUAUUUAAAAUAAUAAUGCUACAUUAACUUUUUUAACUAAUUAACUUUCAAAUUCGAGAAAUUUUUUUAAAAAAAUUCUUUAUUAAUAAACUCUGAUACACAAGAUACAAUUAAUUAAAUUUACUUUUUAUUAAUUUAAUUUUCAUUUAUUUCAAAUUUCUUUUACAAUACUAAUUUAAUAUAAAAUUUUUAAUUUUUUUUAUUAAAAAUACUCCAACCCCAUAUUUUUAUUUUAAAAUUUUUUUUAUUAAUUAUAAUUUUUUAAUUUUUCCCCC